rnacentral:tRNA from 1 species
GAGGUUGUGGCUCAGUGGUAGAGCACUUACCUAGCAUAUGUGAGGCACUGGGUUUGAUUCUCAGCACCACA